rnacentral:rRNA from 1 species
AAGCGGCGGACGGGUGAGUAACGCGUGGGUAACCUACCCUGUACACACGGAUAACAUACCGAAAGGUAUGCUAAUACGGGAUAAUAUAUUUGAGAGGCACCUCUUAAAUAUCAAAGGUGAGCCAGUACAGGAUGGACCCGCGUCUGAUUAGCUAGUUGGUAAGGUAACGGCUUACCAGGGCGACGAUCAGUAGCCGACCUGAGAGGGUGAUCGGCCACAUUGGAACUGAGACACGGUCCAA